GACGAACGCUGGCGGCGUGCCUAAUACAUGCAAGUCGAACGCUUCUUUCCUCCCGAGUGCUUGCACUCAAUUGGAAAGAGGAGUGGCGGACGGGUGAGUAACACGUGGGUAACCUACCCAUCAGAGGGGGAUAACACUUGGAAACAGGCGCUAAUACCGCAUAACAGUUUAUGCCGCAUGGCAUAAGAGUGAAAGGCGCUUUCGGGUGUCGCUGAUGGAUGGACCCGCGGUGCAUUAGCUAGUUGGUGAGGUAACGGCUCACCAAGGCCACGAUGCAUAGCCGACCUGAGAGGGUGAUCGGCCACACUGGGACUGAGACACGGCCCAGACUCCUACGGGAGGCAGCAGUAGGGAAUCUUCGGCAAUGGACGAAAGUCUGACCGAGCAACGCCGCGUGAGUGAAGAAGGUUUUCGGAUCGUAAAACUCUGUUGUUAGAGAAGAACAAGGACGUUAGUAACUGAACGUCCCCUGACGGUAUCUAACCAGAAAGCCACGGCUAACUACGUG
rnacentral:rRNA from 1 species